GCUUUAACCACUAGGCUACCCCACCCCCUGGAGUCAUUUAGAAAAAACCUAAAUCAAUUAAAGCUCAUCAAUUUGGUCAUGUCAACUAUUUCACAAA